rnacentral:rRNA from 1 species
GAUGAACGCUGGCGGCGUGCCUAAUACAUGCAAGUCGAGCGAACAGACGAGGAGCUUGCUCCUCUGACGUUAGCGGCGGACGGGUGAGUAACACGUGGAUAACCUACAUAUAAGACUGGGAUAACUUCAGGAAACCGGAGCUAAUACAGGAUAAUAUAUUGAACCGCAUGGUUCAAUAGUGAAAGACGGUUUUGCUGUCACUUAUAGAUGGAUCCGCGCCGCAUUAGCUAGUUGGUAAGGUAACGGCUUACCAAGGCAACGAUGCGUAGCCGACCUGAGAGGGUGAUCGGCCACACUGGAACUGAGACACGGUCCAGACUCCUACGGGAGGCAGCAGUAGGGAAUCUUCCGCAAUGGGCGAAAGCCUGACGGAGCAACGCCGCGUGAGUGAUGAAGGUCUUCGGAUCGUAAAGCUCUGUUAUUAGGGAAGAACAGAUGUGUAAGUAACUAUGCACGUCUUGACGGUACCUACUCAGAAAGCCACGGCUAACUACGUG